rnacentral:rRNA from 1 species
AGCAGCCGCGGUAAUUCCAGCUCCAAUAGCGUAUAUUAAAGUUGCUGCGGUUAAAAAGCUCGUAGUUGAAUUUCGGGACUAAUAUGUUGGUCGUGCCUCGGUACGUACUGAUAUUUUUGGUUUCUCCCUUCUGACGAACCUUGAUGUCAUUAAUUUGGUGUCUUGGGAAAUCAGGACUGUUACUUUGAAAAAAUUAGAGUGUUUAAAGCAGGCUCACGCUUGAAUACAUUAGCAUGGAAUAAUGAAAUAGGACGUUUGAUUCUAUUUUGUUGGUUUCUAGGAUCGACGUAAUGAUUAAUAGGGAUAGUUGGGGGCAUUAGUAUUCAAUUGUCAGAGGUGAAAUUCUUGGAUUUAUUGAAGACUAACUACUGCGAAAGCAUUUGCCAAGGAUGUUUUCAUUAAUCAAGAACGAAAGUUAGGGGAUCGAAGACGAUCAGAUACCGUCGUAGUCUUAACCAUAAACUAUGCCGACUAGGGAUCGGAUGAUGUAAUUUUUAAUGACUCAUUCGGCGCCUUACGG